CUAUGAUUUUAUUCUGAAGAGCUGAUCUGUGUCUCACUUCCUCUGAUGGGAGGGUCUCAUCUAAAAAAGGAAGAAAAAAUCUAGGAGGAGAAGCAGAAAACAGGAAGUGAAGCGCUGAGUCAGUUCAGACUCCGACUGAAAGCCUGAGAGGAGAAGCAGUGACUGAAGAUGAGUGGUGUGGAUGAAGAGGAGGACGGACCAGAGUGUGUGGACAGACUCACAGCAGAGUCUUCAGGAUCCAGCAGGUUGUCUCUGAAGAGUGACUCGUCCAGACAUGAACCACCAGACUUCAGUGCUGAACCUGGACCUUCAGACAUAAAACACACAGCAGAGUCUUCAGGAUCCAGCAGGCUGUCUGUGAAUAGUGACCACUCCAGAUCUGAACCACUAGUCUUCAGUGCUGAACCUGGACCUUCAGACUCAAAAUCCUCCUGUCCUCCUGUCCUCAGAGUGUGUUGGCUCUCUGACAGUUCUCCUCCACAGAGGACAUGGCAGUGGAGGGUCCAUCCUGUCCCUGCUUCACCAGACCCUGUCUUCUCUCCAUGGUCCUGGGGGACAUGAGGACCAUGCUUUAUGGUUCUCCAGUGUUUUUAACACCAUUCAGCCAAGAAUCCUGACAGACUGACUGAGUGUGGAGCCUGAUUUUACCAAAUGGAUUACCAACUACUUGACAGAGAGCCCUCUGUUGGAGUUUACCUUUAUUCAUUAGUAUUAAGUUACUAAAGUAUGGAUUAUUGGAGGUAAUUGAUCGCUAAGUAAUUUUAUUCAAUUAUUAAUUUGAGUAAAUUUUCAUUUACUAAUAAUUUGUAUUUAAUAAUUACAG